rnacentral:lncRNA from 1 species
UCUGGAAAUAUUUGCUUUCUUGAUUCAGAUGUCUCCCCUUCCUUCCUUCCUUCUUCUUCCUUUGUAUUUCUACCCAAAACAUGGGUUUGAGGUCUGGAGCUGCAGCAGCCAUCUCGUACCAACAGACAACAAGCUUAAGGAUGAAUGCCAACAUGCUGGGGAUGGUGAAACAGGAAGGCCUGCCCUCCAUGACUCUCAACCUUGAAUAGGAAUGGGGGAGUCAGAAGAAAUCCAAAGCAGUUCUAGGAAAUUGAGUGCCACAUUCUUUUCUGCACGCCUGAGAGUAUGUCUUAUGCACCUUUGCAUGCCCCAUUCCUGACACUACGACUCCCAUGAGUUGUCCAAAGAAAAUAAUUCAAAGGACUCAAAUAGAGGUUAAAGGCUUCAUUCAGCUGAUGAGGUCAGGGAGCACCUGAAGGCCAGCCAGGUAUAAAAUGAUGUGAUCAGACUACCAGAGCUCAAGAAGUCCCCAGUGAUCAAGGCUGAGCAGGAGGAAUGAGCAGAAGCUCACAGAAUUGGCGUGUAUCUCUAGCUUGAUGAAGCAGUCAUUUAAUACAGGGCAUUUCAUGUGAUCUCAGAAAGGAGAGCAGAGUCCCGGUCCCCUAAGAGCAAGCUCUCCCCCUCCUCCACUACUGUGCCCUCCGGCUUCAGAGAGGGGUCAGACUGAACUCUGCAUGUUGUACUAAGGAUCAAAUGAGGAAACCUAUGUGAAAGCACCUCACCCGCUAGAGGCCCUGGAAGCAAUGGCCUUCUCCUACUUCUCCUGCAAACCC